CCUACGGGUGGCUGCAGUGAGGAAUAUUGGUCAAUGGGCGCGAGCCUGAACCAGCCAAGUCGCGUGAGGGAAGACGGUCCUAUGGAUUGUAAACCUCUUUUGUCGGGGAGCAAACGUCGCCACGCGUGGCGUUCCGAGAGUACCCGAAGAAAAAGCCUCGGCUAACUCCGUGCCAGCCGCCGCGGUAAUACGGAGGAUGCGAGCGUUAUCCGGAUUUAUUGGGUUUAAGGGGUGCGCAGGCGGAAGGUUAAGUCAGCGGUAAAAUUGAGAGGCUCAACCCCUUCGAGCCGUUGAAACUGGUUGUCUUGAGUGAGCGAGAAGUAUGCGGAAUGCGUGGUGUAGCGGUGAAAUGCAUAGAUAUCACGCAGAACUCCGAUUGCGAAGGCAGCAUACCGGCGCUCAACUGACGCUCAUGCACGAAAGUGUGGGUAUCGAACAGGAUUAGAUACCCGGGUAGUC
rnacentral:rRNA from 1 species